rnacentral:rRNA from 1 species
GGCCGCGGGAAUUCGAUUCAGGCCUAACACAUGCAAGUCGAACGGGAUCUUCGGAUCUAGUGGCGGACGGGUGAGUAACGCGUGGGAACGUGCCCUUUGGUUCGGAAUAGCCCUGGGAAACUGGGAGUAAUACCGGAUACGGUCGAGAGACGAAAGAUUUAUCGCCGAAGGAUCGGCCCGCGUUGGAUUAGGUAGUUGGUGGGGUAAUGGCCUACCAAGCCGACGAUCCAUAGCUGGUUUGAGAGGAUGAUCAGCCACACUGGGACUGAGACACGGCCCAGACUCCUACGGGAGGCAGCAGUGGGGAAUCUUAGACAAUGGGGGAAACCCUGAUCUAGCCAUGCCGCGUGAGCGAUGAAGGCCUUAGGGUUGUAAAGCUCUUUCAGUGGGGAAGAUAAUGACGGUACCCACAGAAGAGCCC